CUUUGUUCCUGUUAAUAUUCACGAGUUAUAAGUAUUAAUGUAGCUGGACUUUUCUUUGGAUAUUUGGUUUCCUGAGGGAGCGUCAUUAGUGGAACACUUCCUGAGUUUCCCCUUUGCGCGUGCGCACGUGCAAUAUCGUCAGUCUGAUAUAUGUGAAGCUGACGAGCGCGUGGGUUGUUUGCUUCUCUCCGUGAAUACAUCUGAGUGUGACCAGUGUAAGAGAAGCUGAUGCACUAUCGAUCCACUGAUGAUCUCUCUUCAUUUCUCUCAGCUGACGAGCGCGUGGGUUGUUUGCUUCUCUCCGUGAAUACAUCUGAGUGUGACCAGUGUAAGAGAAGCUGAUGCACUAUCGAUCCACUGAUGAUCUCUCUUCAUUUCUCUCAGAUUAAAAGUCACUGGAUCUCAUUGCUGAGUGUCUGAGUGGUUAUUGUGCAAUGAGUGACGGAUCCAGACAUGCUACAUUCACAGGGAUCUGUCAUCCAGCUGACAUGGUCUCCACUGACAGUCAGGGAUGUGUUGUGGUCACUCCUGGGUGCAGGCCCACCGUCUGGUCUGGAUACCGACUGGAUCAGCUGAUUACUGUAACCUAGGGAUAAGGAGUGUGUCUGCCUCCUGAAGUCCACCCUUUUGAUCAGCUGGAGCCACCUCUUCAGUCCCCUUGAACUCCAUUGCAGCAGCAUUGAAAGUUUUUUCCAAAUUGCAGCCUUGAAAUAUGUACAAAUAUAUAUUGUAAGGUAAUUUAAUCUUAAGCAUUACAGAUUUUUACA